GAGAGAUGGCUCAGUGGUUAAGAGCACUGACUGCUCUUCCAGCAGCCCUGAGUUCAAUUCCCAGUAGUCACA
rnacentral:tRNA from 1 species